rnacentral:rRNA from 1 species
CCUACGGGUGACAGCAGUGAGGAAUAUUGGUCAAUGGACGAGAGUCUGAACCAGCCAAGUAGCGUGAAGGAUGACUGCCCUAUGGGUUGUAAACUUCUUUUAUGUGGGAAUAAAACAUGGUAUGCAUACCCUCUUGUAUGUACCAUAUGAAUAAGGAUCGGCUAACUACGUUCCAGCAGCCGCGGUAAUACGGAGGAGCCGAUCGUUAUCCGGAUUUGUUGGGUUUAAAGGGAGCGUAGGUGGAUUGUUAAGUCAGAUGUGAAAGGUUGCGGCUCAACCGUAAAAUUGCAGUUGAAACUGGCAGUCUUGAGUACCGUAGAGGUGGGCGGAAUUCGAGGUGUAGCGGUGAAAUGCUUAGAUAUCACGAAGAACUCCGAUUGCGAAGGCAGCUCACUGGACUGCAACUGACGCUGAUGCUCGAAAGUGUGGGUAUCAAACAGGAUUAGAUACCCGUGUAGUC